rnacentral:rRNA from 1 species
UACGAAGGGUGCAAGCGUUACUCGGAAUUACUGGGCGUAAAGCGUGCGUAGGUGGUCUGUUAAGUCUGAUGUGAAAGCCCUGGGCUCAACCUGGGAACUGCAUUGGAUACUGGCAGGCUAGAGUGCGGUAGAGGAUGGCGGAAUUCCCGGUGUAGCAGUGAAAUGCGUAGAGAUCGGGAGGAACAUCUGUGGCGAAGGCGGCCAUCUGGACCAGCACUGACACUGAGGCACGAAAGCGUGGGGAGCAAACAGG